rnacentral:rRNA from 1 species
UACGUAGGGUGCGAGCGUUAAUCGGAAUUACUGGGCGUAAAGCGUGCGCAGGCGGCUUCCUAAGUCAGAUGUGAAAUCCCCGGGCUCAACCUGGGAACUGCGUUUGAAACUGGGAGGCUAGAGUGCGGCAGAGGGGGGUGGAAUUCCACGUGUAGCAGUGAAAUGCGUAGAUAUGUGGAGGAACACCGAUGGCGAAGGCAGCCCCCUGGGCCAGCACUGACGCUCAUGCACGAAAGCGUGGGGAGCAAACAGG